AUUGAACGCUGGCGGCAUGCCUUACACAUGCAAGUCGAACGGUAACGGGCCUUCGGGUGCCGACGAGUGGCGAACGGGUGAGUAAUGCAUCGGAACGUACCUUUCAGUGGGGGAUAACGUAGCGAAAGUUACGCUAAUACCGCAUAUUCUGUGAGCAGGAAAGCAGGGGAUCGCAAGACCUUGCGCUGAUUGAGCGGCCGAUGUCAGAUUAGCUAGUUGGUGAGGUAAAGGCUCACCAAGGCGACGAUCUGUAGCGGGUCUGAGAGGAUGAUCCGCCACACUGGAACUGAGACACGGUCCAGACUCCUACGGGAGGCAGCAGUGGGGAAUUUUGGACAAUGGGCGCAAGCCUGAUCCAGCCAUGCCGCGUGAGUGAAGAAGGCCUGGUUG
rnacentral:rRNA from 1 species